ensembl:miRNA
GUGCGUGAUGAUGGAAAAUUUCUUCACUUUGACCUGACUUGUUUGAUUGAAGAAAUU